rnacentral:lncRNA from 1 species
CUCAGCGCGAGAAAUAACUCCAGCAGAAUUAAGUUUUUGACUUAUAAGAUCUGUGAAUGUAACUUUGAUAAUUCAAGGAGUUAAAUCUUGCUCAUUGUUGAUCUACCAGCAGCAAGGGAACUCUCUUAAACAUUUCAUUAUUCACAGAACCUGUGAAGUGUUUCCUGGGUAUAAGUCUUGGUUACUAGCUCCUGUGUAGGCUGAUCAAACUGUUAUAAUGGUUAGCUAAGGCCAGAUGGUAUACUUCAGGAUCUGAUAAGAUUAAUUAGCCAUUUGGGAGAAGCUACCAAGAGUACAGUCAUCUCAACAGGAAAAGCAAAGCAAUAGCAUGGCCUCACCUGUAUGCACUGCCCAAAGUUCCUCCUUCAUGCUGCUAUCACUGCUGAUGGUGGUCACUGCUUUUCCUUGAGACCUGCAACACUGGAAACCAUCCUCUACUUCCCUGUGUAUCGCUUCCCCCACUAGUACCGUACCAUCUGAAGUUUUUUCCUUCAUCUUCACAACAAAAAGGGAAAGGAAGAUGUGCCAUCAUUCUCACCUUACAGCUGAGGAAGCAAUGCCAAGAGGGGAUGAGUCCCUGCUUUGCAGAAGUACCGAGAUCCACCUUUCAGCCUCACUAGUGGAAAGGAAACAUAGAGCUGCUGCCCUGGAGGUGGGAAGCUGUGCUACCUGUGACCACAGAUGGAGGCAGUCAGGCCAAAGAAGUGAAAGUGCAACUUGGGAGCCUGAUUGCCACGAGAAGACAAAAGCUGCCAGGAGAGGUAUCCCCACUUCUCUGCACCACAUGUCCCAGCCCUUUGCAGCUGCCUCAGCAGCCAGAAGGCAAAGUUGCUGCUUUUGAAAUGUACUGGUGCCACUUCCCAGGACUUCUAAACAAAAGUUUUUUUCCAGAAUAUGUUGACUGUGAAAGCAGAAUUAGGAUUUUGUUUUCUUCCCUUUUUCAGACAUUUAUUCUGUAUCUGUAUGAGCACUUGUUUAAAAAAGCUCCUAUUUAUUAUUCUGGGCAGACCAAAAAAACAGCACAAAUAAAAGCAGUAACAUCCAUUCA